CUAGGCCUAAAAUAUGUGAACUGGGUUGCCGAGGACCGUAAUUGGCCCACGGUUCAGGAUAGAAGAUGUUGAGUUCACUGCCUGGGGAGUACGGUCGCAAGGCUGCAACUUAAAGGAAUUGGCGGGGGAGCACUGCAACGGAGUGAGCGUGCGGUUUAAUUGGAUUCAACGGCGGAAAACUCGCUAGGGCCGACUGUUAUAUGAAGACCGGCGUAAUGAGCUUGUCUGAUUUUCAGAGAGGUGGUGCAUGGCCGUCGUCAGUUCGUACUGUAAAGCGUUCUGUUAAGUCAGAUAACGAACGAGACCCUCAUCUCUAUUUGCUACCCGUCUCUCCGGAGGCGGCGCACUAUAGGGAGACCGCUGGUGUUAAACCAGAGGAAGGCGAGGGCAACGACAGGUCAGUAUGCCCCGAAUGUCCUGUGCUACACGCGCGCUACAAAGGACGGGACAAUGGGAAGCCAGGCCGAGAGGCCGAGCUACCCCGAAACCCGUUCAUAGUUCGGAUCGUGGGCUGUAACUCGCCCACGUGAAGCUGGAUUCCGUAGUAAUCGUGUUUCAAUAUAGCACGGUGAAUAUGCCCC
rnacentral:rRNA from 1 species